ACGAACGCUGGCGGCGUGCUUAACACAUGCAAGUCGAACGGAAAGGCCCUGCUUGCAGGGUACUCGAGUGGCGAACGGGUGAGUAACACGUGGGUGAUCUGCCCUGCACUUCGGGAUAAGCCUGGGAAACUGGGUCUAAUACCGGAUAGGAGCCAUUUUUAGUGUGAUGGUUGGAAAGUUUUUUCGGUGUAGGAUGAGCUCGCGGCCUAUCAGCUUGUUGGUGGGGUAAUGGCCUACCAAGGCGGCGACGGGUAGCCGGCCUGAGAGGGUGGACGGCCACAUUGGGACUGAGAUACGGCCCAGACUCCUACGGGAAGCAGCGGUGGGGAAUAUUGCACAAUGGGCGCAAGCCUGAUGCAGCGACGCCGCGUGGGGGAUGACGGCCUUCGGGUUGUAAACUCCUUUCGCUAGGGACGAAGCUUUUUGUGACGGUACCUAGAUAAGAAGCACCGGCUAACUACGUG
rnacentral:rRNA from 1 species